UUUCGCAAUGCCCGAAAGGGUGACAAUGCGACGCCGCGUGAGCGAAGAAGGCCCUAGGGUUGUAAAGCUCUGUCGGGGGUUAUGAAAUGUAGAUCGGUUAAUACCCGGUUUAUUUGACAAAGGCCCCAAAGGAAGCCACGGCUAACUCUGUGCCAGCAGCCGCGGUAAUACAGAGGUGGCAAGCGUUGUUCGGUAUUAUUGGGCGUAAAGAGCACGUAGGUGGUUUUGUAAGUCAGAUGUGAAAGCCUUCUGUUCAAAGGAAGAACGGCAUCUGAAACUGCGGAUCUUGAGUGUAGGAGGGGAGAGUGGAACUUCUGGUGGAGCGGUGAAAUACGUAGAUAUCAGAAGGAACGUCGGCGGCGAAAGCGACUCUCUGGCCUAUUACUGACACUGAGUGUGCGAAAGUUAGGGGAGCAAACGGGAUUAGAUACCCCGGUAGUCCUAACUGUAAACGAUGGGCACUAAGUAGAGGGGUUUUA
rnacentral:rRNA from 1 species